rnacentral:tRNA from 1 species
GCCCGAGUGGCGGAAUUGGUAGACGCGUCGGUCUCAAAAACCGAUGAGGUUAAACUCGUGCCAGUUCGAUCCUGGCCUCGGGUA